rnacentral:rRNA from 1 species
GGGGGGGGGGGGGGGGGGGGGGGGGGGGGGCGGGGCGGGCGAGGAGGCGGGGGGCUUGCUCCGGUGACGUGAGCGGCGGACGGGUGGGUGACACGUGGAUAACCUACCGGUAAGACGGGGAGCGCUGCGGGAAACCGGAGCUAAUACGGGAUAAUAUAUUGGCCCGCAUGGUUCCCUAGUGACCGACGGUUUUGCUGUCCCUUCUCGAUGUGUCCGCGCCGCAUUAGCUAUUUGGUAAGGUAACGGCUUACCAAGGCAACGAUGCGUAGCCGACCUGCGAGGGUGAUCGGCCACACUGGAACUGAGACACGGUCCAGACUCCUACGGGAGGCAGAAGUAGGGAAUCUUCCGCAAUGGGCGAAAGCCUGACGGAGCAACGCCGCGUGAGUGAUGAAGGUCUUCGGAUCGUAAAACUCUGUUAUUAGGGAAGAACAAAUGUGUAAGUAACUAUGCACGUCUUGACGGUACCUAAUCAGAAAGCCACGGCUAACUACGUG